rnacentral:lncRNA from 1 species
UGAUGACCUUUAUUGCUCUCCAAGUGGAGACUAGUCGUUCCCUGUUAUGUCGUCUAGUGAGGAUAAAUUGAUUCCACCAUACUAGGGCAUAUUCAGUGAAUUCUACAGCUGAUAACUUGAUCUUUUUUUCUUCAUUGUAGUUGUGCCAGUCGAAGAUCAGCUUUACUUUUCUUUCCCACCCCAAGUAGGCUUCUGUAUCAUUCUUACCUUUGAAGGGUGGUAUCGUGAUUUUGAUGGAGCUAAUAUUAUUGUCCAUCUCAUCUUCUCUCCUUCUAAUCUGAUCUUCUCCCUCAUCAUUACAUGACCCGGCCUCAUCGUCAUGGUGUUGAGUUAGGUCGUCUGGCAUUUAGGGUCCUGUGCCUU